CUAUUUUCCUCUUACUCCGGAACACGACCACAACCUCUUCCAACACAAACAGGCUAAGCUUGGUUUGGUUCCAUUACGUUGCCAUUUUCUGGUUUUGACUUGGUCGCAUUAUAUCUGGUGGUUGUCUGUGCUUCUGGAUUUUUAUUUUUUCAAGUAUAGGAUAUUUGAUUCCUCUUAUUCAUCUUAGAAAGUUAACAGACCAUAUGAACUUGAAGAAAAUGGAAGUUUGCGGUGGCUAAGUCUCGGCAA